rnacentral:misc_RNA from 1 species
GACUAUUUGGUUUCUUUAGGCACCACCACCUGCCCCUUUAUCGAGUUGAUUUUUUUGGUAUAGCUUUAUUUUUUUCAUCUGACACACAAAAUUUCUCAUGCCUUAUUGUAAAGGACCAUUUUGAGGGAGUUUGCGCUCGAGCAACACGCAAACAGCUGAUGUGCCCGACGACUUGGCACUGCCGCUUUUGUGUCAAUAGCGGUCAUUCAGCUUGUUUUCCCUCUCCCGCAGACCGCGUCGAACUCAAAUUUACACGGUAUACAGCAUGUAAAAGAUCUGCCAGCCAGUGAUAUUUGUUUUGUGUUUUUCCCCUUGAUGGGAGAAGAAAAAUUAAGCAAACAUGUGGAGCAUGUAGGCCUGAAUGAAACGAGAAAAAGCCGUGAAUAAUUCAGGGCCACACGUGAUCGGAUGAUAAUGAUGAUCUCCGCCACACAUCUCCCCGGUCCAGUCCCCCGCAGGCCAAAAAUUGUCAAAACACUGUGUGUAUAUAUUUACCCAAAUCGAAUCGGCGACGCCACUGAUCAUGCAAAUAUGCCUCUCAAUGAAAAAGAAAACCUAGAAGAAAACACAAUUUAGGCGCUGUGAUGGCGCGGGAGCUGUUCCAGCGUGAGGUGCAAGCGAAUGGUCCCGACACAGCUGCACUUCAGCUCCAUCCACGCUAUCUACGCUGAAGUAUGAGAUUGUCCGAUACGCGACCAUUGGACUGUACCCCCGGAUAAACUAGCUCAUUAUUGUGCCGGCUUGUCAACGCGAAGCACGGUGAGAUUUGCGCGCGGUGCCUUACUGAUGUGAUGGGCUACGUAGAGAUGUCAGCUAUUCUUGAUGUCUGGGAUUUACGGACAGUCCUCAUCGGUGUCGUGGUCUUCCUCUCGAUGUCAUGGGUCCUGCGCCGUCGGCGUCCCCUCGGUAGCAACACUCUGCCCCCGGGGCCCUGGGGUUGGCCCCUCAUCGGGAACCUACCAUCCCUCGCCUUUGCGUCCGGUGCGGAUGAGCCCCACGAAGUCUUCAUGCGGAUGGCCAAACAGUACGGGCCGAUCUUCAGCCUGAAUGUCUUGGGCCAGAGGAUGGUGGUAGUGCACGGCUACAAAGCAAUACGAGAAGCCUUCAACAACCCUUCCUUGAGUGAUCGCCCGGAGCUGCAUAUUCUGCAAAACCUAUUUAAUGGUGCCGAAGGAGUAGCUACUGCAUCCGGAGAUACAUGGAGGGAACAGCGCAAACUCAUCCUGAACGUCUUUAGGAAUUUCGGCGUCGGGCAGGCGUGCUUCGAGGAUCAAAUCGCCACAGAGGCUAAUCACCUUACGGCCGAGAUCAAAAAGCUGAAAGGAGAAGUCUUCAAUCCUGUCCACCUCUUCGGCAACGCCGUGUCCAACGUUAUUUCCUCAGUGGUCCUCGGCAGGCGCUACGAGUACAACGAUGUGGAGUUCCAGCGUGUGCUAGCAUCCAUGGAUCGAAGCAUGGAGUUGAUUGGUGCCGGCGCAGCCAUGCAGUUCCUUCCCUUUGUGAACAGGCUGGGUUUCCUGCCGAGUAUCAAGGAGAUGACCGCCACCAUGAAGUACGUGAUGGACUUCGUCAUGGGCAUCGUGAAGAAACACCAGAGUGACUCCUACGUGGAGGAGUCGCGCGAUCUGAUGGACGUCUACCUCAGGGAGAUGAAGAGCAAGGAGGAGCGAAACAUCCCCACUAAUCUCAGCGUCCUGAACCUCGUCAUUGUCGUCUCGGAUCUGUUCGUGGCGGGCACCGAGACCACGGCCAGCACGCUGCGCUGGGGUCUGCUGUUCAUGAUGCUCCACCCCGAGAUCCAGGGCCGCGUCCAGAUAGAACUGGACAGCGUGGUCGGACGGGAGCGGCUGCCGCAAAUGUCCGACAGGCGCAACCUGCCCUACACCGAGGCCGUCAUUUUGGAACUACAGAGGCGGGGUAACAUCGUUCCCCUCGGCCUCCCGCACAAGGCUGCCGAAGACACGACCCUGGCGGGGUACACGGUGCCCAAAGGCAGCCUGGUUGUAGCCAAUCACUGGGCGCUCAACAUCGACCCCGAGCUCUUCCCAGAUCCAUGGGAUUUCAACCCGGAGAGAUUUCUAAACGAAGACGGCGAGGUGACGAAACCUGAGGAGUUAAUUCCCUUUAGUACGGGUCGUCGCAUCUGCUUGGGAGAGCAACUGGCCAAGAUGGAGCUCUUCAUUUUCUUCACGCACCUUCUCCACCAGUUCACCUUCAGGAAGCCCGAGGGCUCGCCGCCCCUCAGCCUCAAGGGUCACCUGGGUAUCACCCUCGCGCCUAUGCCCUUCGAAGUGUGCGCCCUGCCGCGGUGAUUUCAAAUGAACGCAGAAAGCAAGGGGAUGUAGCUUUCUCGAGAUGUGAAAGAGGCAUGGAUUUGGAGGUUCGGUAACGCUGUGAUACAUGGGCCUAAACCAAUCAUGACUUUUCCGAGACACCAACAACGCAGUUACUCAUUAAUGGCUGCAAUUGAGAGGAAUUUUUCUCCCGUGUACUAUAGCUGAUAGUUAGCAAUGCUCGAGGCGCUCUUUGGGUAUUGAAAUGUCAAUGGCGUACGUGUUCCCAUUGCUUCGGCAUAUUAUGCCACCGUCAAAGCCAAGUCUCCAAUAAAAGAUUAAAGUUCAAACUCAUUAAACAUUUUUUCGGCGAUGUGUUCAUUACACGCACGGCCAUGUUUGUUGUGGUCUGCGAGGGGAUAUAUGAAAAUUGAAAGCGGCAGGAAAAUAGGCUGGCAUCCUCUUUUUUAUGGCUCUGGAAUGGGCAUAUUAAUUAUUAUGUUGGCUUCAUGGAAUUCGGUCUGACAUAUCAGUCUCACAAAUGAUAUGUUUUAAGUGAAUUACAAAUGUUUUUAGCUGAACGGCUCAUGUACCAUCAAGUUGGAUGUUGUUAUCCAUCACCUGUUUUUGUUUUAUUCAAAAUUAACGCAUUAGAUAUUUUUUUCUGAAGGAGAAGUUGUAGUUAAAAGUUAAUAAAAGAAUAUGAUGAUCCGUA